UUUUUGUCUACAGCCCCCCAAAAAAGUGUUUGUUAAUGUUGUCAGUUUAUUUUCUGUGAUGAUAUUUGGCUUCUACAUCAGCAGCCAAUAGCAACCUUUCCAAGACUUCAGCAGUUACGGUACUACCUUCCCUGCUCACAACUGAUUUGGUGUGGCCUGGUAUCCAAUAGAUAGGGAAUAAUUGACUGGUUCCACAAAUCAAUGAACCAGGAACGAAACUCUGCUAAUGUCACUGGACAUGACAGGAAAAAACAUGGACCUGCAAAAACAACAGUGAGUCAUGUAACAGGACCUACUACCACCACUGUCAAAGGAAAUGUCAGAAGAAAUAUUCUUUUAGCAGAAAUGUGACAGACUGACAAA